GAGCUUGCUCGGGAGAGUAAAGUGGCGCACGGGUGAGUAACGCGUGGGUAACCUACCUUUGAAUCUGGAAUAACCAGCCGAAAGGCUGACUAAUACCGGAUACGGUUUUGAGGACUUAGGUUCUCUAAAUUAAAGGUGACCUCUUCAUGAAAGUUGCCGUUCAUAGAUGGGCCCGCGUACCAUUAGCUAGUUGGUGGGGUAAUGGCCUACCAAGGCGACGAUGGUUAGCUGGUCUGAGGGGAUGAUCAGCCACACUGGAACUGGAACACGGUCCAGACUCCUACGGGAGGCAGCAGUGAGGAAUUUUGCGCAAUGGGCGAAAGCCUGACGCAGCAACGCCGCGUGAGUGAUGAAGGCCCUCGGGUCGCAAAGCUCUAUCAAGUGGGAAGAACCGGUUCGGGCCAAUACCACGUUCCGCCGACGGUACCACCGAAGGAAGCAACGGCUAACUCCAUGCCAGCAGCCGCGGUAAUACGGAGGGUGCAAGCGUCAUUCGGAAUAAUGUAAUGCGUAGGCGGCCUGGUAAGUUAAUGUGAAAGCCCGGGGCUUAACCCCGGAAGUGCAUUUAAAACUGCCUGGCUUGAGUAUGGGAGAGGGAAGUGGAAUUCCUGGUGUAGAGGUGAAAUUCGUAGAUAUCAGGAGGAACACAAGGCGACAACCCGAACCAAUACACAAACACAGACGCGAAGGCGCGAAGACCAAACAAGAAAACAGAACCAGAUACCCCACGAAGCAAACCAGGAAAACGAGGUCAAGAGGGGAAGCACCACUGACCCCCGCAGCGAACCAACUAACGCAACAACCGAACCACCACGGCAGCAAGGCCAAAACGCAAAAAAACAAACGAAGGCACGCACAACCGCACAAGCAGGGGAGCAAAUGCGACAAAACGACAAAAACCGAACAACCAUACCACAACCCGACAACCCGGGAAAAACGCAAAACGCAAGUCCCCACCCGGGAACACGGGCACAAGGGCUGCAGGCAGCUCGUCACCUCAGAUCGUGAGAUAAGGCCCGAAACCACCCAAACACCGAAACCCAGAUACCAACAUACAAGCAGCCACUCGAAAAAUACAAACACACUCAACCGGGAAAAAGGGAGGAAGGACGGCAAGACCUCAAGGCCCCAAGGCCCAGAGCUACACACCUACAAAAAUGCGACGUACAGAGGGUCGCGAUCCCGCGAGGGGGAGCCAAUCCCAAAAAACAGUUCUUAGUUCGGAUUGGAGUCUGCAACUCGACUCCAUGAAGUUGGAAUCGCUAGUAAUCGCGGAUCAGCAUGCCGCGGUGAAUACGUUCCCGGGCCUUGUACACACCGCCCGUCACACCAUGAGAGUUGAUGUACCGGAAGUUGU
rnacentral:rRNA from 1 species